rnacentral:rRNA from 1 species
CUACGGGUCGCAGCAGUGAGGAAUAUUGCACAAUGGGGGGAACCCUGAUGCAGCAACGCCGCGUGGAGGAUGACGCAUUUCGGUGUGUAAACUCCUCUUAUAUGUCAAGAAAAUGACGGUAGCAUAUGAAUAAGCACCGGCUAACUCCGUGCCAGCAGCCGCGGUAAUACGGAGGGUGCAAGCGUUACUCGGAAUCACUGGGCGUAAGGGACGCGUAGGCGGGUUGGAAAGUCAGGUGUGAAAUCCUACAGCUUAACUGUAGAACUGCACUUGAAACUUCUAAUCUAGAGUAUGGGAGGGGGAGAUGGAAUUAGUGGUGUAGGGGUAAAAUCCGUAGAUAUCACUAAGAAUACCUAAAGCGAAGGCGAUCUCCUGGAACAUUACUGACGCUAAGGCGUGAAAGCGUGGGGAGCAAACAGGAUUAGAUACCCCUGUAGUC